UGAAGAUACCACUGGUGGCCGGCUUCCACCUGUUCAAAAAGAAAGAAGCGCCAUGAUGUCCCUUGGGAUGGGUGGCAAAUUUGAAUGGAAAGUGUCCACUGUGUAAACAGAAAGAAAAACUCACCUUGGACAAGGUCACACACCUUGUAGAGUGCAUCUACUUUCAUGAUGAAGCCAUCCACUCCAGGCAUGCUGCUGACUGGGUGGAAAUCGGGCAUCUCGGAGGCAAAGCAGGCAUCAAACGGAACAUCGUGGAAAUAUUUGUCGGUCACUUCUGGUUGAUUCCGGUCCUGCAGUUGGAAGAAAGCAGCAGGUGAUGACAAGUGCAGGGUAUUCAUGAGCCAUCGUGCACUGCCAGAGACAUUUGCAGGGAUAUUGUCACCAGCUUCAUCUCAUCUGAGCUACACGACAGUACAACUGACAGUAAGGUUGUGCCAAUAUUUCCUCUUCAAGCAGGGAAAAGAACAUUGUAUGUCUCAGGAGCCAUACUGUGAAGACGUCUUGACAGAAGGAGUGAGAUUUUUUUAAUGCUUUUAAACAA